rnacentral:rRNA from 1 species
GUGCCAGCAGCCGCGGUAACACCAGCUCCACUAGCGUAUAUUAAAUGUUGUUGCAAGUUAAAAAGCUCGUAGUUGGAUAUCUGUCAUGGUGGGCCCUGGCCCAACCGCGCUUUUUGUGCAGUUGUGUGCUGGUUUCGGUGCCGGUAC